GUGCCAGCCGCCGCGGUAAUACAGAGGUGGCAAGCGUUGUUCGGAAUUACUGGGCGUAAAGGGCGCGUAGGCGGCCUUGUGAGUCAGACGUGAAAUCCCCAGGCUUAACUUGGGAACUGCGUCUGAUACUGCAAGGCUUGAGUGCGGGAGAGGGAUGUGGAAUUCCAGGUGUAGCGGUGAAAUGCGUAGAUAUCUGGAGGAACACCGGUGGCGAAGGCGGCAUCCUGGACCGACACUGACGCUGAUGCGCGAAAGCUAGGGGAGCAAACGGGAUUAGAAACCCGAGUAGUCC
rnacentral:rRNA from 1 species